rnacentral:rRNA from 1 species
AUUGAACGCUGGCGGCAGGCUUAACACAUGCAAGUCGAGCGGGGUGAUGGUGCUUGCACUAUCACUUAGCGGCGGACGGGUGAGUAAUGCUUAGGAAUCUGCCUAUUAGUGGGGGACAACAUCUCGAAAGGGAUGCCAAUACCGCAUACGUCCUACGAGAGAAAGCAGGGGAUCACUUGUGACCUUGCGCUAAUAGAUGAGCCUAAGUCGGAUUAGCUAGUUGGUGGGGUAAAGGCCUACCAAGGCGACGAUCUGUAGCGGGUCUGAGAGGAUGAUCCGCCACACUGGGACUGAGGCACGGCCCAGACUCCUACGGGAGGCAGCAGUGGGGAAUAUUGGACAAUGGGGGGAACCCUGAUCCAGCCAUGCCGCGUGUGUGAAGAAGGCCUUAUGGUUGUAAAGCACUUUAAGCGAGGAGGAGGCUUACCUAGUUAAUACCUGGGAUAAGUGGACGUUACUCGCAGAAUAAGCACCGGCUAACUCUGUGCCAGCCGCCGCGGUAA